AGGGCAGGCAUAGCUAAGUG
rnacentral:miRNA from 1 species